UGUAAUGAUUUGUCAACAUAAUUACUAGAGCAUCCUUUCAAAUCAUCCACCUUCGACAUGCAGUGUUGUAAUUUAUUAUUAUUUUAAUUAUUCUAGAGGAUAACGGUCACACUCAUGCUUUCUUUUUUAUAUUAUAUCUUCAAAUUGAAUCGUUUCCAUUUUGGUUCUUAUUGAAACUAUUCAUAUUUGCCCAGGCCAGUGACAGGUUUAAUAUUAACUCCCAACUCGAGCAUCUUCAAGCUAAAUAUGUUGGGACUGGGCAUGCUGAUAUGAGUAGAUUUGAGUGGGCAGUUAACAUCCAACGUGAUAGCUACGCAUCUUAUGUUGGCCACUACCCCCUUUUGGCUUACUUUGCUGUUGCUGAAAAUGAAUCAAUUGGGAGAGAACGCUACAAUUUUAUGCAG